GCGCCUGUGGCUCAACGGAUAGAGCAUUUGGCUUCGGACCAAAGGGUUGGGGGUUCGAGUCCCUCCGGGCGCACCA
rnacentral:tRNA from 1 species